rnacentral:rRNA from 1 species
AUGUAUCCACUGGCAUGGGCUGUUGUUGAGAAGGAAACAAAUGAAAGCUGGAAGUGGUUUAUUGGCUUGCUUAUUAAAGAUCUUGACAUUAAUAACAAUGCAGCUGGAUGGGUGUUCAUUUCAGAUCAACAGAAG